CACAUGGAUUCAGUCAGUUUUGAAGCUCUGAGCAAGUGGUCAAACUAUUUGUCUGUAUUGGUUGAGGCUGAAGACAUGAGUCCAUGGACAGGGACUACUGAGGAACCUUCAUCAAGAACAAGGAGAUCCACACGCUAACUAGCGAUGAUGGUUUGCCCUCUGACAUGACCUCUGAGGAUGGCUCCACCCUCAACGCUAUAGGCCACGCCCUCAUCCAGAUGCAGCAAGGUGGACAGACCACCCCCUCAUCUCAGUUCCUCAUCACUAGGAGCACCUCUUCUGGUUCAGAGUCUGGCCAAAAUGGUGAGUAAUGGAGGCCAAAUUUAUCAGUGUGACGAUUCCCAAGUGCUUGUACGUACUAAUUACAUGUAGAACCAUGAGUAUUAUUGCUAAUAUUUGAGGUUUCUUGGAAGUCUCUGCGCACUUAAGGCCCGGGUCCAGAUUUUAACACCAAAUUUACACUAUGUUCAUACUGCUGUAUUAUUUGCAAUAUACAGUGUAUGCUGCAUCAAAAUGAUCCAAAAUGAAGCUCAAUGUUUUCUUUUUCCAAAAAAACUAAUUAGCUUAAUUCAAUUAUGCUAAUUAGUCCCAUAAAUGAUGAUGACGUCAUGCCACUUUCAGAAAGAGAAGUGCAAAUACGGCGUUGAAGAUGCCAAGAUCAAGCUUCAAAAACAAGGCUAGAUGAACAUCUCAUAGCUAGGUACUAGUAUCCUUGAUGGGAAGAGUAGGAGUUAUUGUAUUCUUGAGAUACACAAAAUAGCCUACCUCUAGGGUGGCUGUCAGAGCUAAAGAAGCUAGCAUAGCUAAGAAAGUUUUGGACAUUUUUACUUCCCAUCAAGGAAACAUAAUCAUAACAACAUAAUCUAUCUUUUGAGGGCCUAAACAGCUAGUUUAAGUCCGCCGUAUUUGUUGCCAAAGAUAAUCUAUAAUAGUUCUAGCAGCUAGCUAAGCAAAUACAUUGACCUUAUGACGUCAUGUGCAAUGAAUAACAUUAAUAAACAUUAUGAAUCUCAUUAACACUACAUGAUCUACAUAAAAUGUAGGCAAUGAAUAAAAUUAAUCUUAUCAGUGCCUAACCCAGGCCUUAACUGCCCAGAGGUGGUGUUGGAAAAAAUUGUCAGUUUUUACUAUGUUGUUGUGUGUGUUCAGGUCCUCUGUAUGUGAUGAUCCCACCAUCCAGUAGUGCUGAGAUACUGCAUGCAAUGGGUCGACCUAUAGCACCCAAGAUGAGCGGGAUAUCAACUAUGGAUUAUCACACGGCCGACCCAAUCGUUCAAAUGCAGUUGUGAUGUCUGGGGAUAUGGUCGCCAACAGGGAAGCUCAGAGGAAGGCUACACACAAUGAAGGUGCUGCAAAUUCAAUACUGAAAGUUAUAGUGUACAACAGAUGUACAUGUACUUACGUGGUCAUAAUCAAAUAGAAGCAUUUCCCACAAAGUACAGUUACGAAGCUUUAAUAUCAAAUCUGCCACUUAAAACUAACUAGUGUUCAAGCUGGCGCUGUGCUAAUGCCUCUCGCCAUGUUUUUGCUUUCGCUCAAAAGUAUUAGAGUGUUAUAUUAGUUUCUAUAAUGAAUUUUAUAUUAAAGUUAGCUUAUCUAUAUAAAGUCACUGAGAAGAAAAAACUUAUUUACAUGCAUCUAUUGUUGUUAUUUAUUGUAUUAUGUGGCUUACCAGGACCUCAAGAAAGAAGAAAAUUGAUUCUUCCAGGAUCUGUACUUCAGUGUAUAUAAUAUCAGACCUGUGCGUACAUGCAUAUUUUUAUCUAUAUUGUUAUAUGGUAGUGUUUUGUGGCUUACCAGGCCCUCAAGACAAAGAUGAUUCUGCCAGGAGGAUCUGGAUCUGGAUCUUGGAUAUUAUUUUCUCACACAUGGGGAAUGAGCGCGCAUGCGCAUUACAUACAAUAAUUAAAGGGUGUGUCCAAAGAGAUCAAUUUCACAAUGAAAGCACCGCAGGUGCUGAUGCCUAGGUGGAGAUGCCAAAGCUACAUAACAUGAAGCUUUUAUACUGAUGAACAUUUUUGCAAUAAUUAUUUUGCUGCAUGCAGACUCAAAGAGUGGGUAAUGAUCGACCAUGAUUGUUGUUAAAAACGAUCGAUGCCAAAAGUUCAAGUCUAAAAUUAAUGGCUGCCAUCAACAGAGCCUUGCAGCUCACUAGCGUUCUAGUGCAGAGCUAACUACUAAGUAGAGUAGUAACACUCGGUAAACAAGUUUGGCUACGUGCUCUUCUGAAAAGGCUGCAAUGGCAUUCCAAGUAGGCAUAACUCGAGAACGAAGCAUUAUUUUGCAAAUCCACGAAUUAAAAUCCAAGUAAACAUGACUAGAAGCCUAUAGAAACUCUUACUUGCACUUGAUUCAUCCUUGAGCAGCUGUAGCAGUCUACACAGACAGACACACAAACACACUACCGUAUACCUCGCUUGCGCAUGCGCACCGAGGCAUAAUUAAUGGCUACUGCUAGCUAGCUGUUUUAACAGAUAUUUUCUGAGUCUUGUAGCUAACAAAAAGCUAGCGCUUUAGUGCAAGGCUAACUCAUAUGUUGAUGCUAUGAAAGAUUCUGAAGAGACUGCAACAGCCUUCAAUGUGAGUCAAACUAGCCAUAACUCGAGAAAGAAGCUUUAGUUUGCUAAUCCACGAAUCAAAAUCCAAGAGAACGUGGCUAGAAGCUGUUAGUUUUCGUCGCAUUGCAACCGUUGAGCGGUUACAGCUGGAACAGACACACACACACAGACAGACAGACACACACACAGACAGCUUUACCGUAUCCCUCCUGCGGCUACGCCUCGAGGCAUAAUAACUUAUUUGUUGUAUGGAGGCUAUCCAUCCAUGCUGUAAACAUUUAAGUAUGCCUUGAUUUUAAUUUUAUACUGUGUGUGAGGUCAAGGUUCAUUCAUUUCGCCAAUUGGCUCAGCUUCAUUGUACAUGCCCUAAACACGAUAAUUACCAGUUGUUGUUGUUCUUGCCACACCCAGUUGAGCGUCGGCGUCAGGACAGGAUGAACGAGCUCAUCAAGGUACUGGCUCAGAUAGUGCCUGCUUGUCAGAAAAAAGACGCAACUGCUGGUUCCAUUGUCGGGUAUGUGUACAGCAAGGGAACGGUACUGGACAAGACAGUCUGGCACCUUCGCAAGCACAACCUAUGCACUUGUCAGCUUCGUCACAAUUAUCUCCCCUCUUACAAUCAUCGCUGCUGACUGGAGCCUCUAAUCCAAACACACCACUCUUAAGCUCACUCGUACAAACUCUAUCCUCCAUUGCGAGCACGACCACUUCUCCGUCCACUCCUGUACCGAAAUCCUCCAUGCUGUCACAAGCCAACAACAAUGGCGGUGGUGGUGGUGGUGGUGGUGGUCUCUCUGCCGCGGCUGCUGCUAGUCUGCUCAUUACUCUGAUUCUGGCUCAGAAUGUGCUCACAAGCAACUCAAGUGCUGGUAGCCCCGGGCAAGAUUCAAUGUCUAUGGAAACGGUGGACCAAUCCUCUCAACAGUAGUGUACAGUAUAUUAUAAUUGUGGACUGUUUAUACUGUUCUAGUUUUAACGUGUGUUUUUUAGUAAUCUCUCCUUCACUUACUAUAUAGCUACAUUGUCAGUAUUAUUAUGUAUA